rnacentral:rRNA from 1 species
UACGUAGGCAGCGAGCGUUGUUCGGAAUUACUGGGCGUAAAGAGUGUGUAGGCGGUGCUCUAAGUUCGGUGUGAAAUCUCCCGGCUUAACUGGGAGGGUGCGCCGGAAACUGGAAUGCUAGAGGAUGGGAGAGGUAAGCGGAAUUCCUGGUGUAGCGGUGAAAUGCGUAGAUAUCAGGAGGAACACCUGUGGUGUAGACAGCUUACUGGACCAUUUCUGACGCUGAGACACGAAAGCGUGGGUAGCAAACAGG